rnacentral:lncRNA from 1 species
AUUAUUUUAGCCUUGGAAUAUGGUUCGGUUAUGUGAAAAUUCAAUCCAAAUUGUUGUGUCAGCUAACCAAUCAGUACAAUCGAUCAAUUAUACACAAUUUCUAAAUUUUCUUGUCUGCAAUGACUUGUUUUUGCUUAAAUUGUAUAAAAAAAAAAAAAAAAAACACUUUCUAACUGUUAAAACAAUUUUUUUGGAUUAAAAAAAAAAUGGCUCUUUCACGCCACUUUAGAGAAUAUUUAUUAGGUGUGCGUCGGGAUGAUUGGCAAG